AAGAUGAUCACCGUCUUCUGCAUAGCCCUUAAUGUCUUCAUGGUUUCAGGUUCCUCUCUCAGCGACCAAGUCCACCAGACUCCAGCUGACAUGUUCACCAAACCUGAAGAAACAGCCAAAAUCUACUGUUCACACAGUAUUCAGAACUAUAAUCAAAUCCUCUGGUACAGGCAAUUCAAGAAUAUGCAACUUCAGCUCCUGGGACGCAUGUAUGCAACGAGUGCAAACCCAGAGGAUGGAAUGGGAGUGAAGAUAGAAGGGAACGCAAAUAAAGACCAAAAUUGCACACUGACAAUCGAAAGACUGGCCCUGAACAGCAGUGCGGUGUACUUCUGUGCUGCUAGUAUAUCUUCACUCAGAUCUUUAUUCUGA